rnacentral:rRNA from 1 species
AUCAAUAAGGGGAGGAAAAGAAACUAACCAGGAUUCCCUUAGUAACGGCGAGUGAAACGGGAGAAGCCCAGCCCCUGAAUCCCGCGGUCGUAUGAUCGUCGGGAAAUGUAGGGUUUGGGAGUGUCUAUGCGGUAGUUGUGUGUUGCCCAGGUUCUCCUGAUUGAGGCUUGACCCAUAGCGGGUGUAAGGCCCAUACGGCGAUGCAUGCUACUGCUCUGGCGCUCCUUGGAGUCGGGUAGUUUGAGAAUGCUGCCCAAAGUGGGAGGUAAAUUCCUUCUAAGGCUAAAUACUGGCACGAGUCCGAUAG